rnacentral:SRP_RNA from 1 species
UUUGGGUCUACUCGCGACGAACACUUACGAACCCCGCUAGAUCCGGAAGGAAGCAACGGUAGUAAGGAUGUCGGGCGCCGAGAUAAAGGCUCAUUAGG